rnacentral:lncRNA from 1 species
CACCAUCAUGUGUUUAUAGGAAUUAAAACCGUUCGCAUGCCACCAUGUGUGGUGUCUUAUGAUUACUAGCUACUUAGCGUGUUAUUAUUAGAAGGUUUCAUGUGCCCGACUCACAACUUGACAAGAUUCCACCAUUGGGCUAGCAUUCAACUGACAAGAUUUUGCCAUUAGGCUUUCAACGGAAAUAAAAGAGUUUUUUUUAAAAAAGGGAAAUAAAAAAAGAACACAAAAGGGAUAGCAGAAAAUCGAUCGUACUAUAUAUUACUAUAUACAUCUGACUAUUAUCCUAACCAUAACUACUAUAUACAAUCUCACUAUUUUAAGUAGAAUAUUCUAACUAUAACCACCAUUCCUAAGAGCGUCUCAAGAAUUCCCAAAGCAAUAUUCCAAUCCAAGAUUUUUGACGAUUAAACAAAUGUUCAACAACUUCCAACCUCAUCUCUCAACAUCUUUUAGUAAUUAUUAAAAAUAACCCCAUCGCGGGGAUAAAUAUGCGCGUGUAUCCAUCAGCUAAAUUAAGGUGAAAGGAUGUGUAUAAAAGAAUAAGAAGUAGAACUUACAAAUAUACAAGAAACAAAAGAAAAUAUAAAAAUAAUUGGAUUAAUUAAGAAAUAGUUCGGGAUACCUGAUCUAAAAUUAGCUUCUAUCUUUAGGAACUAACUAAUAAAUAUACUCCCAACCUUUUUU